CCCAACAUAAUUUAUUAAAAAUAUUGAUUUGCAAAAUCAAAAAAGGAAUAAUAUCCUGAUGGGU
rnacentral:tRNA from 1 species